CUGUCUCUACAAAAAAAAAAGAAAGAAAUAUAUUUUCUUGCUGUGGACAUGACCAUAAAAAAAACUUCCCACUAGGUUUUUAUCUGCUACUUUGCUAGCACUCAGCCUACUAGGGACAUUU